CUGGGCGAGUCAUGACUCUGAACAUCUGAGCUUGCACAUUCUCAGCACAGUCAGCAUUUGGCAGCCAAAAUUCUGAAGGUUACACAGUUUUCCAGGACAACGGGGACAGAGCAGGAUUCCCUCCUGUAAUGGCUCUUCCCAGUGUCUUCCCCAGUAUCAGGAAGGCCAUUACUAGGUUAACAUUAAACCAAGAAAAAAAUCAAACAUUCUAUGUUUUUCAGUGUCACUUCUGGAGGCGACCAUGUGCCAAGGAGAAUGAAGUGUGAUUGCAGCAUUGAGAACUGAGGUCAAGAAAUAGUUGCGGGUAGGGAAGAUACGAGUAAGGGAACAUUGUGCAAAUCAAAGGAAGAGAGGUCCGGCCUGGGAGUUAAAACAAUGGAUAAGGUGUCUUUAGCUACUAAAGUACAGUGCUUUUAGGACAUCAAGAAGCUCAUGCUUUCUACAGACUCGUAGACAAAUAUCUGGUGUUCCAAACUGAGGUGGGUGCUUGUCCUAGUGCUUGAUUAGGAGUCUCUAACUCUUGAGCUGCUUGGGUAAUAAUCAAAUGUCUAAUAACUCUGGCUACAGGUAAGGUUUGACUCGUAACUGUCAGGGUACUCAAGGAGUUUACUGCACACUUCAGCAAGUGAUUCCAGGAGGAUGUUUGUCCAUUUGUAAAAGAAUAAUUUUGACAGUAAAGGCAUCAGAUGGUUUAGAUUUAAAUCUCAUAGUUUUAAUGGAAAGUGAAAACAACCUGCAUGAUGGAAUUUUUAUCUUUGGCUCUAGAAUGCCCUUAAAAAUGCAGAAAGUUUUACUGUAAAGGUUACAAAGCCAGUUUGUCACAAGUUAGAAGUCACAGCAUUAUGGCUGUGCCAGGCUUUAGUGCACACAUGAAACACUGCCCAGUUUAGACUUUGAUCACAAAUAAUUUUUCUCAAGUUCCCAAAGAAGUUUAAUUUUCAUACUUCUUUUGUGGAGACUUUCUUUUGACAUAUUGCACAUCCUUCAAUAAAAAGAAUGGCUCAGAAAAAAAUCCUGGACAUGCUGAACAUGACAGUCCUUUUUGCUAUUGACUUUAGAGGUGCAAGGAUGCUGCCUAGAUCUUUUUCAAUAGUUUUGAACCCAUCAUGUUACUAUCUAGUCAGUAAAACAAACCAAAAACCUGCUUCUGACUAAAAAAAAACCAGUGACAUGUUAUGCUAUAAAUCAUUAUUACAAGUAUUAUUCCACAAUGAUCUUACUGUUGCAUUAUCCAGUUUCUGUCCUCUCUAGAGCAAGGUAAUGUGGGACAAUUAAAAAAAGAUGAAGGACAGAAGGGCAUUCUUAUAUAAACUUUAAAAGAAUGUUACUACUAAUGAAGAAUGUUAUCAGGUUGCAUGUACAUGACAUGGAAUUUUACUUUCUAAUACAGUAGAGUCUGUCUUCAGCAUUCAUUUAGCUCUGCAGCAUCACAGUAAAGAAAGCUAUGACUACCUAAACAACAAGGCGGCCAUACUACAUUUGAAAAAGAAGAUUCAGACAUAUUUUGUUUCAGGAGCUUUUAAACAGCCAAUGUAAUGAACUAAAACAUCUCGCAGUUUAACUGCACAUUUGUUUGCACACACUGGAUCUAGUGUAUACCUAGUUGCCCUGAGUUAAUAUUUACCAUUAUAGAACAACAGUAUUUUGAUCUCUCUCUUUGAUAGACUUAUCUGUUGUGUUGAUAUUUUUGUAAGCAUUUACAAUGUGCAUUCUUUUAUAUAGGUGAUAAAUACAGAUGGAUCUGGGGAAUGAGAUCAUUGCUUAUGUACUCAAAACCUUGCAACACUGGGCGCUUAUGAAAUAUUCUAACCAUGUGUAUUUAUGAAAUAGUUUUCUUACAGAGUGUUCUCAGCUGAUGCUUUGCAUGACCUUUAAACAAAAUAAUGCCCUUGUUCUGGGUUCAUUGCAAAAUGAAAACAUGCAGCAUGAUGGGAGUCUCUGGAAAGCUCAUAGAGGUCCUAAUAUAGAUGGAGUGAAUGUAACAUGACAGAUGCCCAUUCUUCAGUGUUAGGGAGGUCAAAUGCAUUCCAGAUAUACUCAGAUAAAGGCAGUGGAAUGAAAUCAAAUGAAAUGAGCAUUGACUGGCAAGUGGCAUGUUAGAAAGGUAUACAAGGAGCCAGUUCUCUACAGAUACCAACAUCUAUUUAGACACCAUAAGACGAAUGUAAUGUUUAUCUGAGAAAGAAGGAUCAUAAAAUGUAGAUUACCAAGUGAAAUCACUAUUGCGUCAGAUGUUUGGAAAUUAAAACAAAUGAUUAUUCAGCUUCUGAAAUAUAGGACAAUAUUCACUUUGAGUGAAGUUUGACUAGUUCAUCUACUGUCAACGGCAAAGCUCCAUCGGCUUCAGCAAUGCAAGUUUUCAUUUUGUAUCUCUUACCAAGCUGAUUUAAUGCAUGCUAGGAUAUAAAGAUUAGCUUCCUCUAAG